CAGAUAUUCAGCCUACAUCGCCGUCAUGAUCACUGGUGAACCCAUCUCCUCUAAAUUGAAGGUGCUGUAAGGAGUGAGGUGCCUUUCCCUGAUAGGAGAAAAAACACCUAAACAAGGUAUAACCAUAUGGAACUAAUAAAUCCAUGAAGACCGAUCCCGUAGUGAUGCCCCCAGUCCCCCGCCCAGGUCCAGACAUGAUAAAAGAGUAAAGCGCAGUGAUCUCAGCACAUGACAGGCACGAUGCAGUGACUGAGACUGGGAGAUGCAGUGACUGAGACUGUGUUCCAGAAAAAUGUCCUGAAACUACUGGUCGACAUCCGCCAUCGCCUGAAGGAAACCAGAAGGGAUCAUGAAAUUUGGUUCCAUAGCCACUGAGGUGUAUGUACAUCAAGGUGAACGUGUGUGAGCACCUCAAGCACGCGUCGCAAAGACUUGGAGGUGGAGGAUUCACUACGCCCCGAUGAGCCUACAGGACUUGAAUUAAGAGUUUUAAAGGGAUAGUUCACUUUAAAAUUAAUUUUUGAUAUGUUUUAGCUUACCUCAAGGGCAUCCA